GUUCCGUUUUCAAUGUCUUGAUUUUCUAAAGUAUCUACAAGCUUCUUGAGAUACAUAGAUGAGGUUUGGGAAUUAGUAAGAAGGAAAGGUGACCAGAGAAGAAGUCUGAGACACCCACAAGGGCUUCCAAGUUGUCAAAACAUCACAAGGACAAAGGCUUGAGAAACAAGGCUUCCUUUGACACUUGCAAUUUGAAGGGAUAAAAUAUGGUCCCUAGAGUCUCUUUAUGCUGAAUUAGGAUAUUGUUUAAUUACACUGGCCAUAAAUGAUGUGGGGACAGUCAGUGAGAUUUUAAAUACUACAAUUAAAGGAAAGAGGCUGAAUAUGUAAUUGCACUCUUGUGGGGAAGCAAAUUCUGAAUUCUGCCAGCAGGAAGCUCCUCUCUUCAAUAGAUCUUGAAGGGAAGAUUCCAUCACGGAUCCCAUUACUUCAAUCAGACAAUUAUCUCUCAAGAACUGAAAGAGGAAUCCUCUUUUUUUGUUAUUUUUUUUCCUUUUCUUGGUGUAUGCGAGCAUGUAUGUGAUCUUUUUCUCCAACAAUACAUAGUAUUUCAACCAUGAGUAGAGUGGUUGAUUUAAUCCUGUUUUCCAAAGGAUUAAAUAAAUCAUAUUUGCUAGUUGAGUGCCUGCUAGGGGUCCCUACAUUCUCUUUAAAGUCUACUUCAGGUAAUGAGGCUUUCUUAGAGGACCACCAGCCCACGGAACAUCUUCCCCUUUCUAGAAUUCCACUGGGGCACAGUAUCUGAAGCCCACUCUUAUGCUUGAUAUUUCUGUUCUCUCGUCCUUUCCUGUGUGGGGAUCACAUGUCCUCUUCUAGUCCAGGCUUUCUGGCAAUUCUUAAAGGGCUUCUGGUAAGACCUAAACUGGUCUAAUAUUGAAGGAAUUGAUACGGUUAUUUGCUAUUUAUGCAUGUGAAUUAUGAGCAUUAACAAAAAGCCAUCAUCUCCCAAUAUCCCCCUCAAGAUGAAUCAAUAAUUAAUAAUUGGUCUUUGUGGCUUUUCUGGCCGCCUCUUAGAAUUUGUGCACUUGAGCUGUUUAUCGAAGGAGGCUGUAACCAAAGACCAGAAGCUUAAGCUGGCUUGUAAAAAGAGCCAAGAAAUUUGGGGACCUUCUACUCCCAUGGAACCUAAGCUUGGGGACUGCACGGCCCAGUCAAAUUUUUUAGAAUGAUAAAAUAUGGAGCUGAAUUUGCUAAGUUAGCAAAUUAAAAUUAAGACAAAAGUAAAUACAAUGACAAAAUGAAAAU